rnacentral:rRNA from 1 species
UACGAAGGGGGCUAGCGUUGCUCGGAAUCACUGGGCGUAAAGGGUGCGUAGGCGGGUCUUUAAGUCAGGGGUGAAAUCUUCGGGCUCAACUCGAAGUCUGCACGAGAAACUAUCUGGCUUGAGUGUGGGAGAGGUGAGUGGAAUUCCUGGUGUAGCGGUGAAAUGCGUAGAUAUCAGGAGGAACACCUGUGGCGAAAGCGGCUCACUGGACCACAACUGACGCUGAGGCGCGAAAGCUAGGGGAGCAAACAGG